UAGUCUCAUAAAUCAGAAAGAAGUUCUUUGGGGGAUGCUUGAAGAUUCUUUAGAAGAACGGUUAGAAAAGACUGGAGGUUCUGUUCCAGAUUCGGAAAAGUUUGAUGGAGAUCCGAAGGAAGGAGAAGUGGAAGAAAACAAGAAGAAGUCAAUUGAAGGUGGUAAACAUGGUGCACCUCUUAAAAAACUAAAGAAGGACAAAGUUGGGAUUGCAACAGGGAAAUCUUCUCGUACAGAGAGCAGCACAGUGACAACUGCACCACGUGUCAAACCGGAACUUGCUUUACCUGCUAUACCUGUAGAGGUAGAACUUUCUAUUCUGGAAGACUUGAGGAACCGCGUACAGUUGAGUAAUGCAUCAUUGCCCUCUGUUAGCUUCUAUACAUUUGUUAAUACACACAAUGGACUAAACUGUGCAUCAAUAUCACAUGAUGGAUCACUAGUGGCUGGUGGAUUCUCAGAUUCAUCUGUGAAGGUCUGGGACAUGGCAAAGCUUGGGGAACAAACUGGUCCAUCUUUUUUGCAGGGGGAGACUGAUUCACCUUCAAGUGAGCAUGUGCUUGGCGCAAAUGGUGGAAGAAGAUGUUAUACAUUACUUCAGGGCCAUUCAGGGCCUGUUUAUUCUGCAUCAUUCAGUCCGCACGGGGAUUUUCUUCUUUCUUCAUCAUCAGAUUCAACUGUUCGCUUAUGGAGCACAAAGUUAAAUGCUAAUGUUGUUUGCUACAAAGGCCACAAUUACCCAGUAUGGGAUGUUCAGUUUAGCCCAGCUGGACAUUAUUUUGCCAGUUCUUCACAUGACCGCACUGCAAGGAUCUGGUCUGUGGACAGGAUACAGCCUCUAAGAAUAAUGGCCGGACACUUGUCAGAUGUAGAUUGUGUGCGAUGGCACGCAAAUUGCAAUUACAUUGCAACCGGAUCAAGCGACAAA
rnacentral:misc_RNA from 1 species